AUUUAGAGAAUGCCUCCAAGUACAGGAAGAGCUUGCCACGAGAUUCGUUCUCUAGGCUAUAAAUGCUUUGAAAUUUCAUCAUUACAGUGCGAGUGUCUCACAGAUUCCUUCGACAAAAUAACAAGACACCCACGCCAGAGAUGAAGGUUUCAAUGAUAUUUAUAGGAACGCUUUUAAGCGUAAUAAUGGUGGCGUAUGCCAACUAUUACAACCCUAUGAUGAUGAAGGGUGGAGGAGGCUACGGCUAUGGCUCGUACUAUCCCGUCCAACAACAAGGCGGCUCUAGUGGUGGGUUUGGCGGCGGUGGAAUUUUCGGAAUGAUCAUCUUCUUGUUCGUGUUUAUCCUAAUUAUUCAAUUAUUGUUCGGGGGCGGUGGACUAGGCGGUGGACUUGGUGGUGGUGGUGGUGGGGGCUACGGAGGCUACAAAGGGGGUCACAAGGGCGGCUAUGGAGGUGGAAAAAACGACUACUAAACUACUAUAACAGAAUCAUCAAACUUCACGGACCUCAUGAAUUUUAUGAUCUUUAAACCUGAAAUUUGUGAUAUUUUUCUUUUUUAAUUAUAUGUAACCGUAGCAACCCAUUUUCCUUCUUUUUAUUAUUUUUGUUUUGUUUCCGGUAUAUACCGAGAGACGUUCACUUCUUUGCUUUUCUAUUGCGAGUCAAUAGAUAUCGCGUACAUUCUGUACGUACACUAUUU